GUUAAAACCUGCCGUUUGCAUUUAGGACCACUUCGGUGAGUGGUCGUUCUAGUGUGUUCUGUCAGACUUAUUUUUCUUUCUUCUUUUUUUCUGGUUUUGUUUUAAAACUGAGACGUAGCGUUCCAGUAACUUUGAAACGGUUCCCUUCGACUGCUCUGAGGACGGGUUUGACUCGUGGAGGUUUCGCGCAGGCGCCGUUGGGACGGGAGGGCCUUGAACUUCACAGCGCCGCGGAUGGUGGCUGCAGAGAGGCGAGGACUGUUGGGCUCAGGGAGGUGGCGACUCUAAUUGAGUUGUCAACGGUCCUUUUCCUGCUUAUGCAAGGAUUAGCUGGACCUAGCCCUCAGGGGUCAGUUAAUGAGGUGUCCAAAGGCUUCCAGGGCGCUCCCUCGCCCGCGGCGGCGAACGCUAGACUGCAUUCAAAACUCGUGCGUGGCGCUUGUCUGAAGGUGGAGGAGUCUCGUCCUGCAUCGUAGUCACCAUUCGUUUUGAAAACGUACCCCAGAGUAAAGGAACGAGCUCAAGGGGUGUGUGUGUGUGUGGAGGGGGACUCUUAAAGCUCUAAAGGGAAAAUACCCUUUUAAAAAUCUGAAUUCUCCCUUCGAGGUCAAUUCGAACCUCGGUAGAGAAUUUUUCAAAAUGGACAUGAAUUUGUCCUGUGCGGCGUUGUUUGUUUGCAUUUGGAAAUAAAGCGAUUUCUUCGCUUAAGUUAGGCAGGAUAUGGUCUGGAGUAUUGCCUCUUCAGUCUACUCCCAGCGUUUUCCCAGUUAAUAUGUAAAUUGACGGGUUCAGUUUUUCAGAGAUAAAAGCAGACUAAUUCAAAAGUCAGAAUUCUAAUUACAAAUUACUGUUUAUUAAAACAACACAACUUUUACGUUUCUAAGUUGGUAUGCAAACUUAUAACCUUUGGUUGGCUUUAAUGGUACCUUCAUGGU
rnacentral:lncRNA from 1 species